AUGCCUGGAGGGGGGAGAUGGGGAGAUCUGAAUCAAAGCCAGGAAGACUUCCUGGAGGAGGGUGAGGUGACCUUUCAGAUUUCCCACUUCCAACAGCCCGGGUUUCAGCUCAGACUCCUCCUCCGUGGCUCCUGGCCGCAGGCCACACCUGAGCCUCCUCCUCCUCCUCCUCGGCUCUGGUCUCUCUCAAGGCCGCCUCCCACCCACGUGCCAGGGGCCCCACACAGCCUGGGUCCCGCUGAGCUCUGCACCCUCCCGACUCCCAACCCCUCUCGGAUUUUCCACAAAACUGCAGGGUGGCUCCAUCGCCUGUGCAGAAGCUGGCAGACCCCACCCCCUCCCUACUGCCCAUCUCUGGAUCCUACUCCUCCUGCCCCCUCCCUUCCCCUUGGUGGCCCGUCCCCUCCCUCCUCCAGGGUCCCUCUGAGGGUCUUUCUACGCUCAGUGCCCUCUGGAGACGUCCACGCCGUGCCUGCUCCGUCCCUGUCCAGUGCUGACCCUCGGCCCCUCCCGCCGUCCUUGGGCCCUCUCGCACUUGCCAGCCUUUGGCCCUACCUGGGAUGCUCCCAUAGCCCCCUGCCCACCUCCAACCCGGCUCAACCACAACUGGCCCUUCAGGUCUCCCUUAUCAAGGAGCAGUGUAACAGCCACUCGGCUCUGCCAGCGCCCACGCUGAGGGCCUCCCCAGUGCCCUGCUCCUGCAGGCUGGGCCUCGUUGCCCUGGUGUCAUGGACCAGGAGGCGGGCUCAGGCGGUCAGGGGGCCAGCGGGGGAGGUUGGACUUGUGGCUGGGGGCUGUCCCAGUGCUCACUCCUCUGGGCUCAGGGCUUCUCUGCUUGGGCCGCAUCUUGUGACCCUGCCCCAGCACGGCUCGCGCCACACUGAUGACACAAGGGACGGAUCAGGUGCGUUGUCAGGCGUGCAUCUGCGGGCACCCUGGGAGGGCGCAGAGCUCAGCCCAGGCCGCGCCGCCGGCAGAGGCGAGCGUGGAGCCCAAGCUUGGGACGGUCUGCCUGGCCGGAACUGUGGCUUCUGGCUUCCUUCCGGCCCGUGCGCCCCACGCCUCGGCAUGUGGGGGCCCCGGCACAUGUGGCACAGUUCAAAGUCCUUCUCACCUUCCUCUCUCUCUCUAACAUUUAUUUUUAUGUAUUUGAAAGGCAGAGGUACAGAGAGGGAGGGAGCGAGCGAGCGAGCUUCCAUCCACCAGUUCCCUCCCCAAGCGGCUGCAUGGCCAGCGAUGGGCCAGGUCAAAGCCAGGAGCCAGGAGCCAGGAGCCUCAUCCGGGUCUCCCACGUGGGUGCAGGGGCCCAAGCACUUGGGCCAUCCUCUGCUGCUUUCCCAGGUGCAUUAG
rnacentral:lncRNA from 1 species